rnacentral:rRNA from 1 species
GACGAACGCUGGCGGCGUGCUUAACACAUGCAAGUCGAACGGAAAGGCCCUGCUUUUGUGGGGUGCUCGAGUGGCGAACGGGUGAGUAACACGUGAGUAACCUGCCCUUGGCUUUGGGAUAACUUCAGGAAACUGGGGCUAAUACCGGAUAGGAGCUCCUGCUGCAUGGUGGGGGUUGGAAAGUUUCGGCGGUUGGGGAUGGACUCGCGGCUUAUCAGCUUGUUGGUGGGGUAGUGGCUUACCAAGGCUUUGACGGGUAGCCGGCCUGAGAGGGUGACCGGCAACAUAGGGAAGGAGAAACGGCCCAGACUCAUACGGGAGGCAGGAGUGGGGAAGAUAGCACAAUGGGCGGAAGCCUGAUGCAGCAACGCCGGGUGCGGGAUGACGGCCUUCGGGUGGUAAACCGCUUUCGCCUGUGACGAAGCGUGAGUGACGGUAAUGGGGAAAGAAGCACCGGCUAACUACGU